AAGAGCCGCCAUUACAUACGCUCUCUGUGACAGUGCAAGAAGAGGGAAGAGGUGCAUUAAAUUUUAUAUAGAUUUGCAGAUGAGAAUCACGAGGGAUUUGGUACCUUAAAAACAUGCAUGUAUCUCGCACCUCUAUCCCUUCCCUUCGUCAAAUCUUUAGAGAGAGAGAGAGAGAGGUUUGACCCUUAAUUUCCAGGUAAUUCCUCGAUGCUUUGCUAAAAAGAGUCAUUUCUUGAUGAACUUUUUCCCUGAUUGAUAUUGUGAGAAAUUUUGCUGUCAUCUGUAAAUGAUAUGUGAUUUUCACUACAUGUAUUCUCUAUCUCCUUAGUCUUAUUAUUGUAAUUGUGUGUAUAUUAUUCACAUACAUCCACAUAAAAUCACCGCACAAAUCUGCACAUUCAACUCUAUUGUGGCGCCUGUUAGAGCUCUUAGAUAAUUUUCUUUUAUAUUUCAAGGAAUAAAAGAGAUAAUGUUGACUCUGCACAGUUUCUGGUGCUGUUAAGCAUGCCUGUGUGCAAGUUUGUCUACACUUCCCUGGUGGUAUCCAAAUCAUCAAGUAGAACAAAAUCCCAUUACACAGGAAAGACAUGAUGGAUGAUCAGAUUAAUGCACAGUACUGUUAUAUAAUAAUGUGAAAGUAGGUGUAUCAACCCAAUCAACUGUUGUGAAGUUGAACUAGAAUUCAAUGGGGAGACAAAAGUAACUCUGAUUUUGGUUGCCUCGUCCCAACAUAAUGUUAGGGGACCAGUUUGAUGUUUUUUUUCCUCCACACAUAAUUUCAGUAUUGUAAUAAUCACUUCACUCAGGGAUGGAUUCAGUGCAUCGAAAAUGGAAACUUGUGUUCGAAUAUGCCCCUAUUCGAUCAGAAAUAAUUGCAUAUUAACAUUAUUGCUUGGUGAGGUGUUUGUCAUGUUAUUUAUGGUUCGUGAAUAUCAUAAUGCUUGAAUGAGCAAGACAGCAUGUGAAAUAAAAUGAUGGUAUUUCGCU